rnacentral:rRNA from 1 species
UGGGGAAUUUUGGACAAUGGGGGAAACCCGGAUCCAGCCAUCCCGCGUGUGCGAUGAAGGCCUUCGGGUUGUAAAGCACUUUUGGCAGGAAAGAAACGUCAUGGGUUAAUACCCCGUGAAACUGACGGUACCUGCAGAAUAAGCACCGGCUAACUACGUGCCAGCAGCCGCGGUAAUACGUAGGGUGCAAGCGUUAAUCGGAAUUACUGGGCGUAAAGCGUGCGCAGGCGGUUCGGAAAGAAAGAUGUGAAAUCCCAGAGCUCAACUUUGGAACUGCAUUUUUAACUACCGGUCUAGAGUGUGUCAGAUGGAGGUGGAAUUCCGCGUGUAGCAGUGAAAUGCGUAGAUAUGCGGAGGAACACCGAUGGCGAAGGCAGCCUCCUGGGAUAACACUGACGCUCAUGCACGAAAGCGUGGGGAGCAAACAGG